GGAUGUAUAGCUCAGUGGUAGAGCGUUCGGCUGCAAAUCGAGAUGUCUCUGGUUCGAAUCCGGGUGUCCC
rnacentral:tRNA from 1 species